GACGUAGGGCGCAAGCGUUGUCCGGAUUUAUUGGGCGUAAAGAGCUCGUAGGCGGCUCGUUGCGUCGGCUGUGAAAACCCACGGCUUAACCGUGGGCCUGCAGCCGAUACGGGCGAGCUAGAGUUCGGUAGGGGAGACUGGAAUUCCCGGUGUAGCGGUGAAAUGCGCAGAUAUCGGGAGGAACACCAGUAGCGAAGGCGGCUCGCUGGGCCAUUCCUGACGCUGAGACGCGAAAGCUAGGGGAGCGAACAGG
rnacentral:rRNA from 1 species